GCCCGGGUGGCGGAAUUGGUAGACGCGCAAGACUAAGGAUCUUGUCCGUGCAAACGGGUGCUGGUUCGAUUCCAGUUCCGGGCACCA
rnacentral:tRNA from 1 species